rnacentral:rRNA from 1 species
CGCUAGCUACAGGCUUAACACAUGCAAGUCGAGGGGCAGCAUUGGAGUAGCAAUACUUCAGAUGGCGACCGGCGCACGGGUGAGUAACACGUAUCCAACCUGCCGCUUACUCGGGGAUAGCCUUUCGAAAGAAAGAUUAAUACCCGAUGGUAUAAAGAGUUCGCAUGUUCUCUUCAUUAAAGAAUUUCGGUAAGCGAUGGGGAUGCGUUCCAUUAGAUAGUUGGCGGGGUAACGGCCCACCAAGUCUACGAUGGAUAGGGGUUCUGAGAGGAAGGUCCCCCACAUUGGAACUGAGACACGGUCCAAACUCCUACGGGAGGCAGCAGUGAGGAAUAUUGGUCAAUGGACGAGAGUCUGAACCAGCCAAGUAGCGUGAAGGAUGACUGCCCUAUGGGUUGUAAACUUCUUUUAUAAGGGAAUAAAGUGAGGGACGUGUCCCUUUUUGUAUGUACCUUAUGAAUAAGGAUCGGCUAACUCCGUGCCAGCAGCAGC